rnacentral:tRNA from 1 species
AUCUAAAUAGUUUAAGGGGAAAAAUAUUGGUUUGUGGUGCCGAUGAUAUAGUUGUAUAUUUUAGAUU